rnacentral:rRNA from 1 species
CCUACGGGAGGCAGCAGUGGGGAAUAUUGGGCAAUGGGCGCAAGCCUGACCCAGCAACGCCGCGUGAAGGAAGAAGGCUUUCGGGUUGUAAACUUCUUUUGUCAGGGACGAAGCAAGUGACGGUACCUGACGAAUACGCCACGGCUACCUACGUGCCAGCAGCCGCGGUAAUACGUAGGUGGCAAGCGUUAUCCGGAUUUACUGGGUGUAAAGGGCGUGUAGGCGGGACUGCAAGUCAGAUGUGAAACCCACGGGCUCAACCUGUGGCCUGCAUUUGAGACUGUAGUGCUUGAGUACUGGAGAGGCAGACGGAAUUCCUAGUGUAGCAGUGAAAUGCGUAGAUAUUAGGAGGAACACCAGUGGCGAAGGCGGUCUGCUGGACAGCAACUGACGCUGAGGCGCGAAAGCGUGGGGAGCAAACAGGAUUAGAUACCCGAGUAGUC